UACGUAGGGUGCAAGCGUUGUCCGGAAUUAUUGGCGUAAAGAGCUCGUAGGCGGUCUGUCGCGUCUGCUGUGAAAACUCAGGGCUUAACCCUGAGCUUGCAGUGGGUACGGGCAGACUAGAGUGCGGUAGGGGAGACUGGAAUUCCGUGGUGUAGCGGUGAAAUGCGCAGAUAUCAGGAGGAACACCGGUGGCGAAGGCGGGUCUCUGGGCCGUAACUGACGC
rnacentral:rRNA from 1 species